CUACCGGCAGAGGUGGGCGGGGGUCCCCAUCAGGAGAAGGGCUCAAAAGAGGCAAGCCUCAUCUGCUCAGCUCAUGCGGGAGGAAGGAAAAAGCUGACUCUUCUCUGGAAACAGAUGAGGCAAGUUGGCUGAAUUUACAGGCACCUGGAAUUAACUGGCUGAAGGCAAUGUCCCCUGAAGAGCCAAACGUUUCGGGGCAGGGAUGUCUGGGGUGUUGAGAAGGUUUUAAACUUAGUCCAGAUUAUCUGCUCAAACUGCUGGUCCCAGCAGCACUAAACCUCCUAGAACGAUGCAGCAGCCAGAUCCCUUGUCCGGCCAACUUCCUGAGCUUGCUGAGCUCCUUGAGCACCCUUUGGUGUUUUAGGCGGCUAAUGGCACAGCAAUAGUAGGCAGUGAGUGAGUGUCCCCACCAUCAUGAGCCCUGGGCCCACUUCCCUGCCAUCACUGGAGCUCAGGACAGGGGGCUCUGGGACCACCACCUCAGGUGUGUCCUCAUGCAGCCCCACAGGCCUCCUGGCUCUGUGCCAAUCUGAAGACUGCAGGGUGGCCACACGUCAGGGAUGUCUCUCAGGAUUUGUGCACACCCAUAGCAGGUGGACAGCUUUCUGAACCUGCCUGAGCCCUGCAGUGGGACCCUCACUGGGUCCCUUGGGGCUGCUUGCAAGGCAGCUGGAGGCCCGGUCCCAGCCAUAUUCCCAGCUCCCGGGGUGCUCGGGCACUGGCCUCUGGGCUUCUGAGCAGACUCUUCCUACAACAAAAGCAUCUUCUCCUCCCACCCCUACCCACAGCGAGUUUAUCAUUCAUGGCUCAGGUAGACAGUAUUCUUUCUAGAAGCUUUCCCGACAACUCCACUGGGCCUGGACACUCCCCCACCUCUCUGCUCCCACAGAGCAUCAUCGCUACCUGCAUUUAUGACCACCCUUGUUUGGGGGCAGGGACUAGCUCUGCUCACUGCAGAGCAUCAGUGGGCACUGGGAUAGGCCUGCUCAAUGACAGCUGGCAUUUCCUAGCCCUCUCUAGGCCAGUACAGCAGCAGCCCCUUCUGGGGGAGGGGGAGCUGGGAGAGACUUAUCUAUCCUCACAGGGGAGGGGCUGAGCGCUGGCUCCCGGCAGUUCCAUUCAGAGACGAGGACUCUUGCCUGGCCUGACAGCUGUGGCCUAAUUUCCAGGGCUAUACCCAGGCUCCUUAAUUUUACCCACUUGGUUUUUUUUCACUCCCAAAGAGGGGAAGGAGAGGGAUUGUGGGUGGGGGAGGUGUGGACAAAUGGAAGGGAUGAGUGCUGUGGGGCUGCAGGAUUCAGGCAAGCUGGUAGGGACUGUGCAGAGAGGGGAAGGGAUGGGGGUGAGGAGGGCCAAACUGAUUUUUAAAAACAAUUUUUGAUAAGGAAAAAAAAUUCUCAAAUCCUACCCCCCUAAUUUUCCUGGGUAAACAUUUUUCAACAAGGUCACAAAUGCACUGGCUCUAUAGAUUUUUGGCUUCAAACCACAUUUCAGGCAGCCUUUAAAAGCUGAUUCUUGGCGAAGCUUCAGCUGAGCCCGAGGAGAGGGAAAACUAGGGCACUUCAGUGCUCUGAGAAAACAUCCGAUCCAGGUCACAGCUUCUUGGCUCUGCAGAAGCUGUGGGGCACCCCCUUCCCACAGGCCUGAAACUGUGGACACCCCCGUUCCCGCCGUUUCUUCCAUCAUCCACAAAUCACAACUCUGGGCCACACGUUUCUUAGUCACUUGUCGCCUGUCUGCCGAUGUCACUAGACUGCCACCUCAGUGAAGGCAGAAACUGGCUCUUGGUUCCAUGUGUGCACCAGGCUGGCGCAGGGACUGGCACACUGCAGGCACCCCAGGAAGAGCCAAAGAACAGACCAUGGGGAGUGAACCUUUGACCUCUGCCUCCUGACUAGGGUAGCCAGAGCUCUCCCUGCCCUCCACGACGCUCCUGCUACACCUGAGUGUCCUGUCUGCAGACUGUGGUGACCAGGCCUGCAUUGGCCCAGUCCAGCCGUGGCACAAGGGCAGCAUGGGGGGAAUUUUACUGGAAAAAUCGGAGCCUCAGUUUCCUCCUGUGUGAAAGCCUUUGGCUGACCCUUAAGGUCCCUGCUGGCCCCUGUGAACUAAGCCUAAAAUCUAGAUGGAGAUUCUCCCAGUCUCUGUUCAAUCACCAUUCUGGGAGCAUACUGUGGGGAAAGGGUACAAGCAGCCUUGCUGGGAGGGGCUGGGCCUGAGUCUGACUCCCCAGCCCCACAGGCAAUGAGGAGGGAUCAGCUGGAGACCUGGCUUCUCAGAUGCAGCUGUACUCCCCACCUGCCCCACAGUGGUCUCUGGGAAGGUCACUGGUCACACACACAGCUCCACCCUCUCCCUGCCCUCCUUCCUGGGGGACAAUCCAGCUAUUGGGAGGGGAGGUUUCAGGGGGAGGUCCCUCCUCCCUCUGCAAUCAUGGUGAGGCUGGGCCCUCAGGGGGGCCUGCUUCCCACCCCUUUUCAGCCAGCAUGUGAACCUACACUAUGGAGUGGCACUGGUUGGAUCUGCUUCCCAGUGUCCACAGCUUAGGAUUCUGGUUCCAGAAUCAAUUUUCCACAAACAAUGGCUCCUCCUCUGCCUUUGAGGGUGGGUGCACGAUCCCGUCCUGAAUAACCAGGGCACAGGGACAGGUCCGGUGAGACUCAAGUCCAGAACUGCUGCUGAAGGCUGGUGCUAAGGGACAGCAGUGAGCUGAGAGCUGCUGGUGGCUGUCUUGCCACAGGACAGCCAGUCUGCCAAGGAUGGGCUGACAGAGGAGAAAGAGCCAGCUCAGCAGUGAAGGGAAAACAACAGGAAGUGACAGUCAACUCCAGAACUCCUGCUUUCCAGGAGCUGAGCCUGAGGGAGGGGCUGUCUGCCAUAUCAGAGGGAGCAAGGGGCCGGGAAGGUGGUGAUGGGAACCAGGCCAGCGCUGGGACCACGGAUGCCUCCACCUCCCGGGCUUCCUAUCUCUGACACAUGCAGACAGGGGGCUGAUGAUAUCGCUCAUCACAAUUACCGUCACCAUCGCUACCGGUACCUACUGCACAGUCACCAGGUGCAAGACACUCUUCUAAACACUUUUUGUUACAUCAUUUAAUCCAUCAUUAGUUACUAGGAGAUCAUGACGGUCACCAUCUCCAUUUUUCACAUAAGAAAACUGCUCAGGAAAGCAGCCACGUGGGGCACCCCUGAGGUGUCCACUCCUGGGAAGAACAGCCCUUUUAUUCUGGAGAGCUGUUGCUCCUCACUCCACUUGGGGUUCUGUCAGGGCUCCCCAGGGGAGCCAACCAGAGCUCCUCCCAAGCACAACCAGCAGGGGUGUGAUGGCCAUGUGAUGUGGUGGCCACCAGUGGAAGAGACCGAAACAAUGAAGUUGACCUCAAACAAAGGCCGAGAAAAGAUGCCGAAUUCUUGGACCUCACAGCCCUCUGCCGGGGUCUGGGUAUACAAACCAGUCAAGCUCCCCUGAUUGUUUUGGUGCCUUUGAUCUGUAUUCCUGCCUCCUGCCACCCAAAGACUGCUGACCACCAUAGUUAGAUUAGCGGUUCCCAACUCCAGGUCACAGACCUCCACUGGCCUAGCUGCACCAGAAACCCCUGGGGUUCAGUCGGGGUGGGGGCUGGAGGAGGAGUGGGAAUCUUAGUUUUUACAAAGUGCAAGCAGGCUGGACUAGGUGACCUCCAAGACCCUGUCCAGAGCUAAGAAAUAAUACUUCUGGGCUUUAGGUGGAUUGUAUUCGGUGUCCAGGUCACUGGGAAUACUUAACAAACAUCAAUCAGAAACAGGCAGCUUUAUGGUUAGUUCUCAUGAGCUCCUAAUCCCCUGAAAAAGCACCACAAACCAUAAAAAAAUGCUAACUGAGAAGAAAAAUUGGUUACCUGGGCUGCAUAAAAAUAAAGAACUUCUGUUCAUCAAAUAAUGUUAAGUGGGCAAUAAGGCAUACCACAGAGUAGGAGAAGAUAAUUACAGUACAGACAUCUGAGAAAGACUCAAAUCCAGAAUAUAUAAAGAACUUCCACAAAUCAAUAAGAAAAGCACUGAAAACCCGAUUGGAAAAUGACUUGAACAGGCUCACUGCAAAAGAGGAUAACCCAAAGGCAAAAAGUGGUGAGAAGUUCAUUAGUCUUCACGGAAAUGCAAAUCAAAACCACAAGGUAGUAUCACCACAUACCUACCGGAAUGGCUAAAAGCAAGGACUGAACAGUGCCAAGUGUUGGUGAGUAAGUGAGCAAUGGGAACUCUCACACAUUGUGGACGGGAGUUGAAAUUGGUGCAGCCACUUUGGACAGUAUCUACCAAAGAUACUGUAUGGUCCCCGAUCCAGCAAUUUCUAGGUAUUGUCUAAGUGAAAUGUACACAUACAUUCAAUGGAAGACACCUGAAGGGAUGUUCACAGCAGCAUUAUUCACAAUAGUGCCAAACUGAACAUAACCCAAAUGCCCAUCAAUGACAGAAUGGGUACAUGAACCGUGGCAUCCUCACAGAGUGGGGUGCUCUACAGAAAUGUGAACUACUGCUGUACUGAACACAGGUGAAUCUCCAAACCACGAAGUGGAUCAAAAGAAAGUUUACAGUUUAUAAAAGUGCACAGACUGUAUGAUUUCAUUUAUAUAAAGUUCAAAAAGCCAGGUGAAUGAAGGGAUGGUGUUAGAAGUCAGGCCAGUGGCUACUUUGGGGAGGGGGGUAGGGGUAGUAACUGAGAGAAGACGCAAAAGGGAUCUCUGGGUGCUGACAAUGCUCUACUUCUUGACCUGAGUGCUCGUUACAUGGGUGUAGACAAUUAACAAAAACUGAGCUGUGAUACA